rnacentral:rRNA from 1 species
UACGUAGGUGGCAAGCGUUGUCCGGAAUUAUUGGGCGUAAAGCGCGCGCAGGCGGUCCUUUAAGUCUGAUGUGAAAGUCCACGGCUCAACCGUGGAGGGUCAUUGGAAACUGGGGGACUUGAGUGCAGAAGAGGAAAGCGGAAUUCCACGUGUAGCGGUGAAAUGCGUAGAGAUGUGGAGGAACACCAGUGGCGAAGGCGGCUUUCUGGUCUGUAACUGACGCUGAGGCGCGAAAGCGUGGGGAGCGAAACAGG